ACGCACGCUGGCGGCGUGCUUCACCCCUGCAAGUCGCACGGAAAGGCCCUGCUUUUGUGGGGUGCUCGAGUGGCGAACGGGUGAGUAACACGUGAGUAACCUGCCCUUGACUUUGGGAUAACUUCAUGAAACUGGGGCUGAUACCGGAUAGGAGCUCCUGCUGCAUGGUGGGGGUUGGAAAGUUUCGGCGGUUGGGGAUGGACUCGCGGCUUAUCAGCUUGUUGGUGGGGUAGUGGCUUACCAAGGCUUUGACGGGUAGCCGGCCUGAGAGGGUGACCGGCCACAUUGGGACUGAGAUACGGCCCAGACUCCUACGGGAGGCAGCAGUGGGGAAUAUUGCACAAUGGGCGGAAGCCUGAUGCAGCAACGCCGCGUGCGGGAUGACGGCCUUCGGGUUGUAAACCGCUUUCGCCUGUGACGAAGCGUGAGUGACGGUAAUGGGUAAAGAAGCACCGGCUAACUACGUG
rnacentral:rRNA from 1 species